rnacentral:rRNA from 1 species
AAACAUCGCCUCCUGCAACUACAUUGAGUAUAGGAGGUCCAGCCUGCCCAGUGACUACGGGUUCAACGGCCGCGGUAUUUUGACCGUGCAAAGGUAGCGCAAUCACUUGUCUCUUAAAUAGAGACCUGUAUGAAUGGCUAGACGAGGGCUUAACUGUCUCCCCCUUCCGGUCAGUGAAAUUGAUCUAUCCGUGCAGAAGCGGGUAUAAUUAUACAAGACGAGAAGACCCUUUGGAGCUUAAGGUACAAGGUUCAACCACGUUAAACGACUCUACAGAAAGCAAGAACUUAGUGGUAGGUGAAACUUUACCUUCGGUUGGGGCGACCACGGAGGAAAAAGAAGCCUCCGAGUGGACUGGGCCAAACCCCUAAAGCCAAUAGAUACAUCUAUAAGCCGCAGAACAUCUGACCAAAAAUGAUCCGACUGAUAAAGCCGAUCAACGAACCAAGUUACCCUAGGGAUAACAGCGCAAUCCUCUCCCAGAGUCCAUAUCGACGAGGGGGUUUACGACCUCGAUGUUGGAUCAGGACAUCCUAAUGGUGCAGCCGCUAUUAAGGGUUCGUUUGUUCAACGAUUAAAGU